UAUCAGUCGUUUUUCGAAUCACGCAAUUGAAGCUGUUCUGCUUGUAGAAAGGAUGUUUGGUCUUCAUCAGUUUACGGUUUAAUUAGUGAUUAUAUCCUUACUUGACUCCGUAUCGUCAAGAUACUGCGGCAAUGGUUUGGUAGAACGGAAUGGUAGAUGUUAUUACUUCAGUCGAUUCUCAACUCACUACUUUGCAGCAAUGUACUAUUGCAGACGACUUGGAGGAGCUCUAGUUGAAAUAGAUGGACAAUAUGAAUACUUGACAGUGAUAAACCUCGCAAAAGCCCGAAAUUUUCCUGAUUUCUACAUUGGAUUGACAGAUAUCUAUUCCGAAGGAGUGUGGUUGAAAACUAAAUCACUUGACUUUCAAAUAUUCUUUAGAUGGUCUCCAGGGGAACCCAAUAAUUAUGGUGGCCGACAGGAUUGUGUACAGGUGUACCAUGGGAACUUAAAAAUGGACGAUGCAAGUUGUCGUUCGCACAGGCAUUUUGUUUGUGAAAAAUAAAGCGAAAUAUAGUUUC